rnacentral:rRNA from 1 species
GGUGAACGCUGGCGGCGUGCCUAAUACAUGCAAGUCGAGCGAACGGACGAGAAGCUUGCCUCUCUGAUGUUAGCGGCGGACGGGUGAGUAACACGUGGAUAACCUACCUAUAAGACUGGGAUAACUUCGGGAAACCGGAGCUAAUACCGGAUAAUAUUUUGAACCGCAUGGUUCAAAAGUGAAAGACGGUCUUGCUGUCACUUAUAGAUGGAUCCGCGCUGCAUUAGCUAGUUGGUAAGGUAACGGCUUACCAAGGCAACGAUGCAUAGCCGACCUGAGAGGGUGAUCGGCCACACUGGAACUGAGACACGGUCCAGACUCCUACGGGAGGCAGCAGUAGGGAAUCUUCCGCAAUGGGCGAAAGCCUGACGGAGCAACGCCGCGUGAGUGAUGAAGGUCUUCGGAUCGUAAAACUCUGUUAUUAGGGAAGAACAUAUGUGUAAGUAACUGUGCACAUCUUGACGGUACCUAAUCAGAAAGCCACGGCUAACUACGUG